AGCGGCUACGGAUAAGGUCCGAAGACCAGAACCCGCACCACGGCCGACCACCACCUCUCGUUCCCCGGGAGGGGCGGAGCGCCGCCGGCCACACCAAGAUUCCGGCAACCACGGGAGGGGCGGCGCGGCCACACCAAGAUUUCGGCGACCACGGGAGGGGCGGCGUGUCUCCAGGACGGCCAUGGUGGUUCUGCUCCGACUCAGGCUGUAGGUCCUAUCUGCAAUCCGAGCCCGGCUGGGAGUUGGAUUAGUCAUUCCGAGGCUCCCCUUCAUAAAUAAGGGGAGGGACUUGAAGACCUAACACAUCAUUGCCAGGUAGAUCCAGUUAGUGCGGGAAGAACAUGUGUAAACGUCAGCACUCGCACCUCGACGUCGACGGCACCGGAAAAAGGCCGCGCCGUGUGCCGAAGAAGCACCUCUACCUAGUGCUGGAUGAUUGGCACAAAGGCUUCAGCAUCCACAAGAUCGACGUCGACGCCUUGGAGGGCACCACCGCCGACCUACACCAUGGGUUCCCUGACCCCGCUGCUCUCCGGUUAGCCUCACCCGUAAAUCGUCUUCGCAUGGACUUCGCAGCCAUGGGCGGCAACAUCUUCAUCACCACCAACCCAUGCUGUCCAGACACUCCCACCCUCGUGUUCGACACCGAGACGGCUGGGCUCACCAUGGGUCCCCGUCCACCGUUCGAAUCAUCGACAGGACUACCUUCACCGUGGCCGGCGGCGGCAUGCUAUACGCGUUGACACAUCGGCACGUUCACGAGCAACACUCUUUCGAGGCCAUGUCGUGGGCACCAAUGGAAAGAGACGAGCCGUGGCCGAGCCCAACCAUGAGAUGGUCCUGGAAAAGCGUGCCCUCGCCGCCACCAUUCGCCAUGGACGACGUAAUCACCUCCUACGCCCUGCACCCGGACGGGCACACCAUUUUCAUGUCUGCACACGACAUUCGCUAUCAUCAUCUUUCCAAGGGCACCUUCUCCUUUGACACCAGGAAUUCCGAGUGGAGGUUACAUGGGGAUUGGGCGCUACCAUUCCAAGGACAAGCCUACUACGACAACGGGCUAGACGCAUGGGUCGGGCUUCACGAGGACGGGUACAUCUGCUCCUGUGAAGUUGCCUCCCGCAGCAGCACAAGUGCCGUGGAGCCGGAGUGGAAGGUGACCAAGGAGAAGCUGUUCCACAAGGACCCGGAGAGGCGGCUGGCAUUUGCGAAGGCCAGUCUUGAGUACAUGGGCGACGGCAGCUUUUGCCUUGUGGAGUUUGUGCUACGCGAGGGAGUGGAGUUUAAGCGCGCCUUUGGUGACCGUGAUGGCUGUGUGCUCCACAUGACCACGUUUGCUCUUAAGUAUGAUCGUAGGGGAGAACUGCAGACCACGCGCCACCACACUAACUCCUAUGUAGUGUCUAAGUAUCUCCAGACAGUUUCUCCUCUAGUGUUCUGGAUGUAAAGCUAUUUGUUGACAUGUUUUAUGCAAACCAUGUCCGAGCAAUGUAAGCUAUGCAUGUAUGAUAUGGAGGCAGGAUAAAUAGAAAUGAAAAAAGAAGUCUACUUCUCUUGGCAUUUUGUGGAACACGAGUGGUUAUUUUGCAUAUCUGUUCACGAAAGAAAGCACAGUGAUGAUCACACGUUACAAAAACUAAAAGUGGGACUGUCUUUUGCUCCAGCAAUAACACUGUCAAAUAUGGAUGGUGAAAUUCUAUUCUAAUAUCACUAUGUUAAGUAUUUCUUAUUUUGAAGAAACGUAGCAGAAGCGCCACCUUUACAUUAUGGAGAAAUUAAAGUUUUACUGCAAAAAAAUAAAUUACCUAUGAUGAAUAUAAGGACGUAGUGGCUACAAACCUACUGAGUAAUCGCCAGGCCCAGUUCGGGCAAAAAUUGGAAUAUGUUCUCGAAGCGAAUAGUGUCUAGUCAUAUAUGUUCUUGAAGAAAAUUACAAACAAUAUUAGGUUAGUAUAUGGUGGUUAUAGCAGCUUCAUCAAAUGACUCUGUAUGUGGAGGGCUAUGGUUCUUUUUAAAGUUAAUUCAUUGUGCUUCUGUCCAUGACAGUAGUAUGCAACUUGUAUUUGUGGUUGAUGUAUAUGCUUGCUAAAUACUUGGUGUGAAUUUUACCUUACUUCGACCAUUUAUCAAUAGGAUCUUCCUUUGUGAUGUCUAUCAUUAAGAAAUGGUACUCCCUCUGUACACUAACAUAAGAUUGAACUCCAAAAACACCUUAUGUCAGUGUACACCUUUACUUUGUACUAAAGUUGUACUGAGUAUGCGACACUUAUUUUAGGACACAUGGAGCAUCUUGUUACUCUUGACUGUUCUGCUUUUUAUUUGAGUUCAUUCAGUUUUAUCUUUGCUACUCCCUCAGAUCCAUGUUACUUGUUGCAGCUUUGGUACAACUUUAAGCUGCGACAAGUAAUAUGGAUCGGAGGGAGUAAUAAAUUUCUUGCAAUGUUGGGGAAGCACGGGUGGAGGUUUCUGACAAAGCCCAACUCCCUUUGUGCAAGAGUUCUAAAGGGCCAUUACUUUCCCGACACUGAUUUUAUGCACGCUACUACGCCCAAGUCGGCCUCUGCCACUUGGAAGGCGAUUGUGGCAGGGAGGGACGCUCUCAGCACUGGCUUGAUCUCCCGUGUGGGAGACGGCAACACAAUCUCUGUCUGGACCGAUAAUUGGAUUCCAGGUACGAUCACAAUGACACCUCUCUCUAGGCCACCCAACACCAACAUAGAGAAGGUGGGGGAACUCAUUGACACAACAAAUUGGUCCUCGAGGCAGGAACUGGUGAGAGAAACUUUUAGUGCCUCGGAUGCAGAGGCCAUUCUUAAUAUCCCUCUCCGCCAGGAAGGUGGGGAUGAUUUUCUUGCUUGGGCAUUCGAGAGAUCAGGCAACUACUUUGUGAAGACGGUGUACGGGCUCUAGUGACUCAGAACGAGCGAUUGGCUCUAGAGGAAGGGACGGCUACCGAAACUUCAUAUGAAGAUAAACAGUUGUGGACUGCCUUGUGGAAAUUGGAUGUCAUCCCAAAAGUGCGAGUAUUCUGGUGGAGAGUUCUUCCUGGGAUUCUCCCUGACGAGGCUACUCUUAACUUUCGACACAUUGCUGAUUCUAGGCAAUGCAAAGUCUGUUUAGCACCGGAGGAGGACCUGAAACACGCGCUAAUCCAUUGCCCUCAUGCACAACGUUUCUGGGAGGAGGCCUGGGCGUGGUUUGGACUCCGAUUACCUAAUCUAAACCCAGUUUCUUGGGCGAGGGGCAUCACUCGUGACCCCAGUUUCACAGUCGAGGAGCGUGCUAGGAUCACUACCAUCAUGUGGUCUAUUUGGCAUUCCAGGAAUCGCAUCAAGCAUGGCGAUGAAGGCAGAGACCCCGCAGCAACGAUGAAAGCAACUAAGGAGGCUUUUGCACUACUUCAUCUUCCUCGCAAGGAUGCAAUGCGGUUGCCAGGAUUUGGGUGGAGGCC